rnacentral:rRNA from 1 species
GACGAACGCUGGCGGCGUGCUUAACACAUGCAAGUCGAACGGAAAGGCCCUGCUUGCAGGGUACUCGAGUGGCGAACGGGUGAGUAACACGUGGGUGAUCUGCCCUGCACUUCGGGAUAAGCCUGGGAAACUGGGUCUAAUACCGGAUAGGAGCCAUUUUUAGUGUGAUGGUUGGAAAGUUUUUUCGGUGUAGGAUGAGCUCGCGGCCUAUCAGCUUGUUGGUGGGGUAAUGGCCUACCAAGGCGGCGACGGGUAGCCGGCAUGAGAGGGUGGACGGCCACAUUGGGACUGAGAUACGGCACAGACUCCUACGGGAGGCAGCAAUGGGGAAUAUUGCACAAUGGGCGCAAGCCUGAUGCAGCGACGCCGCGUGGGGGAUGACGGCCUUCGGGUUGUAAACUCCUUUCGCUAGGGACGAAGCUUUUUGUGACGGUACCUAGAUAAGAAGCACCGGCUAACUACGUGC